ensembl:misc_RNA 7SK 7SK RNA
GGAUGUGAGGGUGAUCUGGCUGCAACAUCUGUCACCCCAUUGAUCGCCAGGGUUGAUUCAGCUGAUGUGGCUGGGUAGGUUUGUGUCCCCUUCCUCCCUUACCGCUCCAUAUGUGUUCCUCCUGACGCUGUGCACUGGGUCAAAGAGGACAGCCUUCUCCAAAUAGAGACGGACCAGUUUUCAGUUGAGGGUAUAGGAGUAGCUGAGCUCCGCUACUAGAUCUUCCAAACAAGCUCUCAAACCCCCAGUCCCCACCUGCAGGAGGAAAGCUUUACAAGUGGUGAAGCAGUGCUGCGGGUGUCUUUCUGUCUCU